rnacentral:rRNA from 1 species
UACGAAGGGGGCUAGCGUUGCUCGGACUCACUGGGCGUAAAGGGUGCGUAGGCGGGUCUUUAAGUCAGGGGUGAAAUCCCGGAGCUCAACUCCGGAACUGCCUUUGAUACUGGCAAUCUUGAGGCUGGAAGAGGUUAGUGGAAUUCCCAGUGUAGAGGUGAAAUUCGUAGAUAUUGGGAAGAACACCAGUGGCGAAGGCGGCUAACUGGUCCAGAUCUGACGCUGAGGUGCGAAAGCGUGGGGAGCAAACAGG